AAGCUCUAAGCUAAAUAUGAAUCACACGUGAUAUUUGAUUUCAUUUAAACCAAAUUCAAGUAAACAAACUAUUACAUUCCAUUCGAUCAUCAUAUCUUUUUACAUAUAGUCAUCCACCAAAUACAUGAUUGUUUUCACUUUACAUACCUAAUUCAACAAAAAUAAAGUUGAUACAUGUAUAACGAAAGGGAAUGACUACAAAAUGCAUAAAGCCCCCGGUGGCCGCUACCUACGGCGCCAAACCCUUGCCUCGGUCCUCCGUCGCCCCGCUCGUGCUAGGACCUGUAGGGUUAGUGGUGUGAGAACUACAACGAAGUUCCCAGUGGGCUCGGCAUCCGAUCUCGCCGACUUACCCACUAGGUCUAUCCAGGCAUAAGUAUUUCAAAGGAAGAAGAGUAACCAUUACUAAUGCAACUAAUACUAUGCCUGCAAGAAAGAGUCAGUAGAUAUACAAUUUCAAUGCGAAAAUGAAAAUGCAUGCAUGCUCCAAUCAUAAUCGAACUUUGGCUCUUACCCAAUCUUACCGGUUAACUCUGUUAACCCCAAUAACUCACAACCCAAAAUCCCUUAAUAACGGGGGACUCGAACCUCCCUGGGGACCGUCAACUGGUGGGACUUUACCACGCCCAGUGGUGACCAACUCCGGAGCGCACCGCUCGAGGGGGAGCGACCUCCCUCAAGCCACGACGAAAGGUGAGUAUCGAUCUAAUCCUCAACUUGAGGACUCAUAGCCAUUAGUCACAAUGCCAAUAUCAUAAUAGGUCUCUACCUAUUUAUUCUUGCCACUCUCAAGGCGUUAUCUUCGACCAUGUCAUUACGGGUCAACUAAUUUCAACAGUCAUCUCUCAAUGCAAUUCUUGUCUCUAUGUCAAUGACACCCUUGUUUACUAAUUAUCCAAGACCAUUCUUACAUUCACACAACUUGAGGGUCCAAUCACACAUGUCCAUUUUGGUUGUAUCAUUCUCUAUGUUCAUCUACGUUAGAAGCAUACAAAUGAAGCCACACCAAGUUCCACAUGUAAUUACCCUACUAUGCAUGAAUGGAUAUGUGUAUAUGCUCAAGAAUAGGAAAAAUAGACAUAGAGGGGAAUCCAACGAUUCCGGCGUGCACCCCCCACCUCUAUCAGUCGUGUGGGUGUAGGAUAUUAAGGCCCCCGCACUUUACGAAAGCCGAUUCCGCGCCCUAUAAUCAAAAUAGUGCCGCAUUAGGCCUUUUUGUACAUGAACUAUACUCUAACAUUCUUGAAAUAUUAAACGAAGUUGCCCAACGCGUUUAGGGCACCCGCAAUUAGGUUUCUACGGGGUCAAUUUGUCCCCGAACAAUCCUAGGGCAAAAACCCCAAAUUCAAACCCUAACAUUGCCAUUUAGGGUUUUCCCAUGAAUCGAUCCCAACCCUAAGCAAAGAAUAGCAUAGGAUCAUCUAAGAAGCAUCCUAACAAGGUUUCUAGACCUUCGGUACCAACCCUAGGGCUCCAAACAUCACUUCCAAGGAUUCACCAUGAGAGCACCUUGAGCUCUCAUGGGUUGCAUGGUGUUCAUGGCUCAAAAGAGCUUCUAAAGCCUCUAAGGAGCACAAAGCUCCAAAUCUCUUAGCCAAAAUCCAAACCCUAGAGGAAAACCUUACAAAACUUACCUCUAGUCCAAGCUCCACCAAGAUUCUCCUCGUUGGAGAGCUCCUAGAACCUCCAAAGCCUCCAAAUCCUCCUCCUCUUCUCUUCUUCUUCUUCUUCUCCAAGUCCUAGAGCAUGGGUUCUAGAGAGAGAAAGAGAGGAAAUGGGUGAGAGGGUGGAAAUGGCUGUGGAAGAGAGGGGUGAGUCAUAUAUAGUGUUGUAACAAUUACUCUUAAGCCCCUCCACUUGUUUCCACUUGAACUGCCCAGACUCGGCAUUUUUCGCCUUCGGGGACCGGUCUCUUCUUUAGGGACCGGUCCCCGAGAGCUCAAAAUCUGGGACUUAGCCAGAUUUCCAGAUUUGCUCUCCGGGUCCCUUUUUGCUCCGUUCAUGGACUCCAAUGCACUUAGGGUCCACUUUAACUCGUUCAAUUCCACGUUCCGCUCGCUUUGACGGAACUCGGCACGACUUACGAGGGAUGUGGAGUGUUACACUCACAAAGCAAUAUGUUAAUGCAUAAAGAGUAAGCUCUAACCAAGCAACCGAGUAUACUACAAUGCAACAAUGCAAUCGGCAAGUAUGCUAUAUGUACCAAUGCUCUAUCGUGAGCAUGUCAAUGUAAUCCAACUACUAAACCUAUCUAGUAGUGAUUAACCGUUCUCACACCGUAUUGAUUUCUAUUUCCAAUUAAGGACCUACCAAAGGUAGUCCAGCUUGUGCCGCCUAAGUGUCUGUGGUAGCCCGACAUCCCUACUCUUGGAAUGUGUCUGUCCCACUCGACCCCGUAGGCUUCUCAAUACCACACGAGCGAACAAAAGUCGCAUAGGCCAACUCCGGAGUGCCGGCUUGUAGGGAGCGACCCUCACAAGCAUGUGCGAAUGAGCACAAAUGGCAAGCAAGCAUAGUCCAAGUCUCAAGUAUCCAAUCUCAUGUCUCUAACAUGGUACAGUCACUAGCAUCCCGAAGGUCUAGUUUAAUUCACAAUAUGAAGUUCCAAUAUUACGAAGUCUUGUGCCCCUUUGUGACACUUAGACAUUUAAAUGAACAAGUAUAUCCAACUCUUUCAAUGGCACUAUCCACUAGUUUUACACAUGACCCGAGUUCAAUGCCCCUUCAUGACAUUAACCCAAUUAUUCACGAAUAACACAAGUUCCCGAGCCUCUUUAUGGCUUACCAUGAACCUUUAAGUUCAAUAUCGGAAUAACCUUAAAUGCAUGCAAAAGGUACUCAUCCUCACAAUAGAAGUUACGAUUCCAAGUCUCAAAAGGAUGCCAAAUAUAUGCAAGUACUACAUGCUAGUUCUCUACUAUAUAGAGGUCCGAAAUUUUCUUACACAUAACAUAGGCAUAUGAAGCAUCCUAAAAUUCACAAUAAAUAUAUCUAACAUGAUUAUGCAUGCUUUUCCAAUUUACGAAACAUAUUUCACCAUAUAUGAGUAUUUCUCAUAUAAAGGCUAGGUCAAACCCACCGAACCGUCGCGUAGGGCUUCGAUUCGCCGAACGGAGUUGUCCACGAAUCUCGCAAUACCCUAAAAGUGAUCAGCGAAGAGAUACGAGGGCAUUACGACCAACUUAUAAUAUCAAACAUUAACCUAGAAGCAAAAAGGGCCAAAACUAACCUCAAGAGUAGAAAUCUCUUCCAAAGCUCCAAAAGAGAGCUAGAACCCUUCCAAUCCAAGCCCUAGGAAGGUUCUAAACCAAUUAAUCUAGCCUCAAAAGCCCUAGAUCAAAAAGCCCCAAAAUCAACCCUAAAUCUCAUUUCUAGGGUUUCAUCUCCCAAAAAUCACAAAAACAAGAAUCUAGAGGAGGGAAUCAUGAUACAAACCCUUUGGAAGCUUCAAUCCAAGCCCAAAAUGCCCUAGGGUUGAAGUUUGGUCCACCACUAAGCUCUACAAGCAAGCUCCAAGCCUUGCAAGAGUGGAAAGGAGAGAAAGGGGUUGAGCUCCAAGCUCCCUCAAGCUAGCCCUCUUCUUCUUCUCCUCCUUCUUCUUCUUCUCUCCUUCUUCUUCUUCUCUCUCUAGAAGGUGUAGGGUGGUGAGAAAUGAGAAGGGAAGAGGGUGAAAUGGCUAAUAAGCCCAUCUAGUGUAACAAAAUCCCAAGAGGCCCCUCAAAAACCCAGAAUUACAUCAGCCCGAACUGGGCAGUUUUCGCCCAGAGGGACCGGUCUCUCCCCAGCAGGGACCGGUCUCUCGCUGCGAACCCGAAAAACCAACGUUCGGGAACCGGUCUCUCCCUGCGCGGGACCGGUCUCUCAAUGCGAAGACGCGUUCGGGGACCGGUCUCGCCUGCCAGGGACCGGUUGCCUCAGGCUGCCUCAACACUGCUCACUGGGGGACCGGUCUCUCCUUCCAGGGACCGGUCCCCGAGAGUAGAAACUCUCAGGACUUGUCCAAAAUUCCAGCUUUCGAACUUUUUAGGUCGGCAAACAUUCUACAACCCUCCACCAAGUGUGGAAAAGCUCGAAAUACAUCCAAACACUCGAACCUCGCAAUUUGCAAAGGUCCAGUGUGUUACAGAAGGUAAAGAAUGGUUUGUAACCAUGAGGUGUCUGUUUCCUUCAGCAUCGAGGAGUCGAAUAAUGCACCUAUGAGUGGGUCGAGUAGUUUAGGAAAUAUUAACAGAGACGAUUCUGUAGAUUACCAAGAGAACGGAUCAUCCCGCUGUUUGGAAUCAGUACACUGUGCCUUUAAUCCUAGUACAAAUCCAAAUUGUGGUAGUAUUAGAGUAAACCAAAGUAGCAUUGGAAUGGAUCAGAUAGAAGCAGAGCUUGAAGUUGAACUAGAACUCCUACAACUCAGUAUGAAUGCCAAAAAUUCAGUGCAGCUUCCACCACAUGGAGAAUCGGAGGUAAAACCCUCAUCUAGAGCUUUAUGUUUUUUAUAUGUGGUAGGUUAACUGAUUGAAAUUGUCUAAAAUGCAAGGAAACUCUUUUAAGUAUUCCAGUUUCCCUUGUUCCACCUUGAAGAAUUAAAAGCAAUAUAUAGCACCAUUAAACUGUAAUUUUGUAUCACUUUGCCUCUUUUUGUCAAUGUUGUUCAGGCAAUAUGUAUCAAAUUUCUUGUAUCUCAAUCGGCUAUAAUGUAGGUACUUUUAAUGUUUCAUAAGGGUGAUGCGAAAAUUGUGAUGCUUAUAGAAGGGUUUCCUGCAAUUUAGCCUUGAAAAUAUAUAGCAUUUGCAAUAUGAUCAGUUAUCUGUUCUUUUUAGGAACCCUUUUUUUUUUUCUGGGAAAAGGUUCUUUUUAGAAGCCUUGAGUCCAAUUUAAGCUCAAUGAGUAUGUGACUUCUAAACUACGCUAUAUGAUUUAGCAAUCCUAAGCAACAACAAUAUUUCAAAUUUAAGUCACAAAUCGGUUACUAAUCACAUUAUUUAUGUCUUACUGGAGAAAGUAUUUAUAUUGCGUAAUGUGGAAUUUGAUCAACAAAAUACUUUCAAAAGCAUUAUUCACUUCUUAUUUUCAAAGCAUUCAUUCACCUGCUUACUCAAUUUUUUAACUGUUUUUAAAGAAUGUUCUUUCUACCUAACAAGUUAAAAAAAAAAAAAAAAAAGCUGUUUUGGAAUUUGUAUACAUGUCCAUUAGCAAUCACCUCAAUCACCUUCCUGGUAAGCUGGUAUUGUUAGUGCUUUCUUAGCUCCAGACUUUUGCAAUCUUAGGAUUAAGUUAUGGACUUAACAUGUAAAACUUCUAUUAUUUGGAAGCAAUUUUGCAGCAACUUACAUGAAAACAUUUCAGGUCAAAGAGACAGCAGAUAAUGUAGAUGACGCAAUGAGGGAACUUCAACUGCAAUUUGGUAAGCGUUUUAGAUUUUUUUUUUUUACUUUCACGUUUUUCAUCUUAUAUUUCCAUGUAGUCCAUUGGUCGAUAAUUUAUUUCAUGUUCAGAAACCUGAAGAUUUAUGGGCUAAACACUCGAAAGUGUCCUGCCAAAAUCUCAUAUAAGGGAUAAUUCAUUGUGGAAAGCCAUCAAAAGGUAUGCAUGCUUGAAAAUUUCUCAAAUGUAUUUUGCACAGGUAUCUAUGUCACGCCCCGAGCUCCGCCUAUUGCGUCGGGAUUCGGGCACGCCGACAGACCGCCGAACGACAGAGCCUUCCCUGUACGUUCUAGGCGUCACAAUCUAAAAAUACAAACAUACAAGACGUUCCAAACAGGAACUGUAUUCAACCACAGAUGCAUAAGUAUCAAAACAUAAAACUCUAACUAUGCUAUUACAGAGUAUUCAUCUCAGAAUUUUCAUUUAAAAAUUACAUAAGCCUUAAGUUAUUACAAAACUUAUCAAAUUACUACAAAUUUGUUCAUUCAUCUGAACUUUGAGCUGGACCUUCAGGGUAUUGCUAUCUCGGUUCAGUGGUGGGGCGCUAUCUACGAUGCUACGCCCUGUCCUCACGCGCUGCGCUCGCGCUCGCCGGUGUAACCUUACCCCAAAACAACACGGAGUGAGAACUAUAUAAUAUAGUUCCCAGUGGGUACGCCACCAGAAGAGAGCUCGACCCACCAGGCUCCAAGGAGGCAAAGUAGGUUAGUUCAACAAAUAGAUAGAUAGAUAUUUGACUAUUAACAAAUAAAACCGUACCUUGGCUCGCUGCAUAUGCAAUAUGCAAUACCUGUCAAUCAUGUAGUAGAUUACUUGAUUCUACUUUAUAUCAUUAACCAUUCGUUACUCAUUACUCAAUAGCAUUCUUUUCUUUAUUAGCUAUCACGUUCAUUAGCUAUUCUUUUCUUUAGUCUCUACUCUUUAUUCUUUAUUCUUAUUGUACUCACUGGCGAUGCUUUCCUAAGGGUACUGUACCUUAGCCAUCUAGCCCUCGACUCGGUCUUGAGUCACAACCGCGGAGUACCGCGUCAAGUCAGGCUGAUCGGUGAAGGACGUCUCACAAGACCUCAGCCUUAAAGUCCAUGCGACACUAGGUCCAUCACAGGGAGAGGAGAACCGUCGAUCCUGUGACCUAAAGUCGCUCGCAGCUUAACGGGCGAGGAGAAACCGUCAAACCCGUUAGCUCAACCGGGGAGAGGAGAACCGUCGAUCCCGUUGAAUCACUACCGGAGAGGAGAACCGUUAAUCCCGUAGUUUCGAUUCCCUCAUUUGUUUCAUGGCAUACCGGGAGAGGAGAACCGUCGAUCCCGUUGAAUCACUACCGGGAGAGGAGAUCUGUCACGCCCGGGGUCCCUUUUUAGUUUAAAGCAUAGCGGAAAAGCUCUGAAUUUUUUUUUUGAAACUGACCCCAGGUAUGCAGAUCGCCACAAAUUACAGGAGAUCACUGUUCACAGGACAGAGUCUCCCCUGUAUUUGCACGGCGUCGCACAAGUACAAGAGUUCAAACAUGAUACAACCACAACCAGAUGAACAUACAAAUAACCACAGUUAUAUAUAUCAUUACACCGCCUCUCACACUAUGUCUCUCACCGACAUCUUUUUCUCUCAUUCCAUACCUAUUGUGAUGUAUGCUCGCACCGCCUUGUACCCUCUAUUCAGUACCAAAUCUCUGUCCCAUCACCCCCAGAACAACCCCCGUCUCUCGAACAUUACCCUAGACUUAAACACAUUCCUAUAGGCACCCUCCACGUCAGCCUAUUUCGCUCACUAAUAUGUCUCUUCCCUACACGGCGAACAAUCUACGUUGUCUCUUGGUAAAUACCCACUCUCCCCCGCCGUACCACCGUACACCACUCCUCCCACUCCCAUCGGCUAGGUUAGAAACACUCCUCUCUAUUUCAAGAAAUACAAAUCCUUUAUUACAUUCCAAAACCAACUGAAAACUCAAAUAUUCAGAUAAUAACACAAAACUGAACCAUGUAAACCGACUAAGCUAUAAAUCAACAGAAAUAAUAAGGGUAAUAACUAAAUUGAAAUAACCUGGGUCGGAAGCUCUAUCGACCGCUACACACGUACCUCACGUCUCGUCCCACUAAUCAUCGCCCGCGAUACCUGAAAAAUAGUGGGGGAGGUGAGAACAUAUAAACAUGUCUCCCCUCCCAGUGGGUACCACAAGCCGAAAAAGGCGAGGAGUACUCACCGGAUCAGGAAGAGCUAUACAACAACACGGGUCAGUGGAAAUACAGUAGGAACAAUAGUAAACAAAAGAGAUGUAUAAGGUAAUGAGCAGAUAUACUAAAUACAGUAGCAAUAAACUGAAAGAAAGUAAGAACUAGACUGAAUAACGGCUACCGCUACUGUAACUGGAUCCGAAAGCAUACAUGAAUAUCUACUAUAGUAGCAAGACAACUAUAAAGUAAGAACUGUAAGUAUGCAUGCAACGACUGCUACUAUAGACAUAUGCGUCAACCGGUCAAGAAGUCCAAAAGUACCCAAUCUGAAACCAAUGCUCUCUUGGUCAGCACGGCAGACCUCAAGCCAGUGCCACUACUACUCUCCAGUGCAUAUAACCCCUCUAGGGCUCACGGGUUGUCACAAUUCAACCACUUUUCCGGAAAAGAACACUCCUUACGGUGGAUCAGACCAACAGUGUUCGUGAAAUGCGACGAGUAUCAGGCGAUCAAUACAAUAUGCUCAAUGAUCAACCGUCGGCAACCAGCCGACAAUCCUGCCCCCCAGGGCCCAUCGACCGCAUAGGUCGUCAACUGUAAAGAAGCACAAGAACCGACCACUCAGGUCAACUAGGAUGGGACAACAUCGACAUCCUCUCAAACAUAUGCAAAUACUGCUCAAUGAACCACAAGGACUGACCACUCAGAUCAACUAGGAUAUGAAACUCGACCAAUCACGUCACAAGUACAGGAUAUGAAACUCGACCAAUCAUGUCACAAGUAUAGGAUAUGAAACUCGACCAAUCACGUCACAAGUACAGGAUAUGAAACUUGACCAAUCAUGUCACAAGUAUAGGAUAUGAGUAAAGUAUAAUCAUCCGUCGGGAACUAACCGACAAUCCCACCCCUCAGGGUAUACCGACCUCAACGAUCAUCAGACAACAAAGGUCGAGGAACUCACCGAAUAGGUCACAAAUACUGAAUACUAGAAUCGACCGACUAGAUCGCUAAUCUCACAGAUAAUCACAGAAUCGCUCUACUAUAAAUAUGAAACAGGGUAUGCAGAAUAGCUAAGUAGAGCAACAAAGAAAUAUGGUAUAACUACUCUACUCCUACUCAUGAUAUAAAGAGAACAACCGAGUAGAGUGUAACUGAACAACAUGGUGCUAGGCUCAACACUAUAUAUCAAGAUAUAUAUAUAUGCUAGAUAAUAAUGAAAGAGCAAAGGUAAGAAACCAUCACCGAGCCUGCACCACUGUACCGACGUCGGAUCGAAGUACCCACCUGUACAACUGUCGCGCCUGUCUCCUGACUGCAAAAGAACGUCAACCGGACCUAAGGAGGGUCCACUGGGUUAGUGUCUAACCCACAGCUAAGAAACCCUAAAAGCAUAACCCACAAACAAUCCCACG
rnacentral:lncRNA from 1 species